UACGGGGGGGGCAAGCGUUGUUCGGAAUUACUGGGCGUAAAGGGCUCGUAGGCGGCCAACUAAGUCAGACGUGAAAUCCCUCGGCUUAACCGGGGAACUGCGUCUGAUACUGGCAGGCUUGAAUCCGGGAGAGGGAUGCGGAAUUCCAGGUGUAGCGGUGAAAUGCGUAGAUAUCUGGAGGAACACCGGUGGCGAAGGCGGCAUCCUGGACCGGUAUUGACGCUGAGGCGCGAAAGCCAGGGGAGCAAACGGG
rnacentral:rRNA from 1 species